AGGGAAUCUUCCGCAAUGGGCGAAAGCCUGACGGAGCAACGCCGCGUGAGUGAUGAAGGUCUUCGGAUCGUAAAACUCUGUUAUUAGGGAAGAACAAAUGUGUAAGUAACUGUGCACGUCUUGACGGUACCUAAUCAGAAAGCCACGGCUAACUACGUGCCAGCAGCCGCGGUAAUACGUAGGUGGCAAGCGUUAUCCGGAAUUAUUGGGCGUAAAGCGCGCGUAAGCGGUUUCUUAAGUCUGAUGUGAAAGCCCACGGCUCAACCGUGGAGGGUCAUUGGAAACUGGGAAACUUGAGUGCAGAAGAGGAAAGUGGAAUUCCAUGUGUAGCGGUGAAAUGCGCAGAGAUAUGGAGGAACACCAGUGGCGAAGGCGACUUUCUGGUCUGUAACUGACGCUGAUGUGCGAAAGCGUGGGGAUCAAACAGGAUUAGAUACCCUGGUAGUCCACGCCGUAAACGAUGAGUGCUAAGUGUUAGGGGGUUUCCGCCCCUUAGUGCUGCAGCUAACGCAUUAAGCACUCCGCCUGGGGAGUACGACCGCAAGGUUG
rnacentral:rRNA from 1 species